rnacentral:tRNA from 1 species
GCGGGUGUAGCUCAAUGGCAGAGUAUUUGCUUCCCAAGCAAAUGACGCGGGUCCGAUUCCCGUCACCCGCU